rnacentral:rRNA from 1 species
GUGCCAGCCGCCGCGGUAAUACAGAGGGGGCAAGCGUUGUUCGGAAUUACUGGGCGUAAAGGGCGCGUAGGCGGCCUUCUAAGUCGAACGUGAAAUCCCUGGGCUCAACCCAGGAACUGCGUCCGAUACUGAAAGGCUUGAAUCCGGGAGAGGGAUGCGGAAUUCCAGGUGUAGCGGUGAAAUGCGUAGAUAUCUGGAGGAACACCGGUGGCGAAGGCGGCAUCCUGGACCGGUAUUGACGCUGAGGCGCGAAAGCCAGGGGAGCAAACGGGAUUAGAUACCCGUGUAGUCC